CAGUAGCCGCGGUAAAACGAAGGGUGCAAGCGUUAAUCGGAAUUACUGGGCGUAAAGCGUGCGUAGGCGGUUUGUUAAGUCUGUUGUGAAAUCCCCGGGCUCAACCUGGGAAUGGCAAUGGAUACUGGCAAGCUAGAGUGUGUCAGAGGAUGGUGGAAUUCCCGGUGUAGCGGUGAAAUGCGCAGAGAUCGGGAGGAACAUCAGUGGCGAAGGCGGCCAUCUGGGACAACACUGACGCUGAGGCACGAAAGCGUGGGGAGCAAACAGGAUUAGAUACCCCAGUAGUCCCUGUCUCUUAUAC
rnacentral:rRNA from 1 species